GAUGAACGCUGGCGGCGUGCCUAAUACAUGCAAGUCGAGCGAACGGACGAGAGGCUUGCUUCUCUGAUGUUAGCGGCGGACGGGUGAGUAACACGUGGAUAACCUACCUAUAAGACUGGGAUAACUUCGGGAAACCGGAGCUAAUACCGGAUAAUAUUUUGAACCGCAUGGUUCAAAAGUGAAAGACGGUCUUGCUGUCACUUAUAGAUGGAUCCGCGCUGCAUUAGCUAGUUGGUAAGGUAACGGCUUACCAAGGCAACGAUGCAUAGCCGACCUGAGAGGGUUAUCGGCCACACUGGAACUGAGACACGGUCCAGACUCCUACGGGAGGCAGCAGUAGGGAAUCUUCCGCAAUGGGCGAAAGCCUGACGGAGCAACGCCGCGUGAGUGAUGAAGGUCUUCGGAUCGUAAAACUCUGUUAUUAGGGAAGAACAUAUGUGUAAGUAACUGUGCACAUCUUGACGGUACCUAAUCAGAAAGCCACGGCUAACUACGUG
rnacentral:rRNA from 1 species